UACGUAGGGGGCAAGCGUUGUCCGGAUUUAUUGGGCGUAAAGAGCGUGUAGGCGGCUGGGUAGGUCCGUUGUGAAAACUCGAGGCUCAACCUCGAGACGCCGAUGGAAACCAUCCAGCUAGAGUCCGGAAGAGGAGAGUGGAAUUCCUGGUGUAGCGGUGAAAUGCGUAGAUAUCAGGAGGAACACCAAUAGCGAAGGCAGCUCGCUGGGACGGUACUGACGCUAAGGCGCGAAAGCGUGGGGAGCGAACAGG
rnacentral:rRNA from 1 species